rnacentral:ncRNA from 1 species
AUCUUCGGGGCGGGGUGCAAUUCCCCACCGGCGGUAUAGUCCGCGACCUGCGUUUGCAGCUGAACCGGUGUAAUUCCGGUACCGACAGUAUAGUCUGGAUGAGAGAAGAA